UACGGAGGAUGCAAGCGUUAUCCGGAAUGAUUGGGCGUAAAGGGUCCGCGGGUGGCAGUGUAAGUCUGCUGUCAAAGAAUGAGGCUUAACCUCAUCAAGGCAGUGGAAACUACACAGCUAGAGUACGGUCGGGGUAGAAGGAAUUCCUGGUGUAGCGGUGAAAUGCGUAGAGAUCAGGAAGAACACCGGUGGCGAAAGCGUUCUGCUAGACCUGUACUGACACUGAGGGACGAAAGCUAGGGGAGCGAAUGGG
rnacentral:rRNA from 1 species